rnacentral:rRNA from 1 species
UAUUGGUCAAUGGACGAGAGUCUGAACCAGCCAAGUCGCGUGAGGGAAGACUGCCCUAUGGGUUGUAAACCUCUUUUAUAAGGGAAGAAUAAGUUCUACGUGUAGAAUGAUGCCUGUACCUUAUGAAUAAGCAUCGGCUAACUCCGUGCCAGCAGCCGCGGUAAUACGGAGGAUGCGAGCGUUAUCCGGAUUUAUUGGGUUUAAAGGGUGCGUAGGCGGUUUAUUAAGUUAGUGGUUAAAUAUUUGAGCUAAACUCAAUUGUGCCAUUAAUACUGGUAAACUGGAGUACAGACGAGGUAGGCGGAAUAAGUUAAGUAGCGGUGAAAUGCAUAGAUAUAACUUAGAACUCCGAUAGCGAAGGCAGCUUACCAGACUGUAACUGACGCUGAUGCACGAGAGCGUGGGUAGCGAACAGGAUUAGAUACCCUGGUAGUCCACGCCGUAAACGAUGCUCACUGGUUCUGUGCGAUAUAUUGUACGGGAUUAAGCGAAAGUAUUAAGUGAGCCACCUGGGGAGUACGUCGGCAACGAUGAAACUCAAAGGAAUUGACGGGGGCCCGCACAAGCGGAGGAACAUGUGGUUUAAUUCGAUGAUACGCGAGGAACCUUACCCGGGUUUAAAUGGGAAAUGUCGUAUUUGGAAACAGAUAUUCUCUUCGGAGCGUUUUUCAAGGUGCUGCAUGGUUGUCGUCAGCUCGUGCCGUGAGGUGUCGGGUUAAGUCCCAUAACGAGCGCAACCCUUACCGUUAGUUGCUAGCAUGUAAUGAUGAGCACUCUAACGGGACUGCCACCGUAAGGUGAGAGGAAGGCGGGGAUGACGUCAAAUCAGCACGGCCCUUACACCCAGGGCUACACACGUGUUACAAUGGCCGGUACAGAGGGCCGCUACCAGGUGACUGGAUGCCAAUCUCAAAAGCCGGUCGUAGUUCGGAUUGGAGUCUGUAACCCGACUCCAUGAAGUUGGAUUCGCUAGUAAUCGCGCAUCAGCCAUGGCGCGGUGAAUACGUUCCCGGGCCUUGUACACACCGCCCGUCAAGCCAUGGAAGCCGGGGGUGCCUGAAGUCCGUAACCGCGAGGAUCGGCCUAGGGCAAAACUGGUAACUGGGGCUAAGUCGUAACAAGGUAGCCGUACCGGAAGGUGCGGCUG